rnacentral:rRNA from 1 species
GGCCAGACUCCUACGGGAGGCAGCAGUGGGGAAUAUUGCACAAUGGGGGGAACCCUGAUGCAGCGACGCCGCGUGAAGGAAGAAGUAUUUCGGUAUGUAAACUUCUAUCAGCAGGGAAGAAAAUGACGGUACCUGACUAAGAAGCCCCGGCUAACUACGUGCCAGCAGCCGCGGUAAUACGUAGGGGGCAAGCGUUAUCCGGAUUUACUGGGUGUAAAGGGAGCGUAGGCGGUGCAGCAAGUCAGAAGUGAAAGCCCGGGGCUCAACUCCGGGACUGCUUUUGAAACUGUUGAACUAGAUUGCAGGAGAGGUAAGUGGAAUUCCUAGUGCAGCGGUGAAAUGCGUAGAUAUUAGGAGGAACACCAGUGGCGAAGGCGGCUUACUGGACUGUAAAUGACGCUGAGGCUCGAAAGCGUGGGGAGCAAACAGGAUUAGAUACCCUUGUACAU